rnacentral:sRNA from 1 species
ACUAUCAUGAGCACGGGUCCCUGUUUGAUUAUCUGAACCGGUACACAGUGACAAUUGAGGGGAUGAUUAAGCUGGCCUUGUCUGCUGCUAGUGGGCUGGCACACCUGCACAUGGAGAUCGUGGGCACCCAAGGGAAGCCUGGAAUUGCUCAUCGAGACUUAAAGUCAAAGAACAUUCUGGUGAAGAAAAAUGGCAUGUGUGCCAUAGCAGACCUGGGCCUGGCUGUCCGUCACGAUGCAGUCACUGACACCAUUGACAUUGCCCCGAAUCAGAGGGUGGGGACCAAACGGAGUCCAUGAAGAAUAUCAGCUGCCAUAUUACGACUUAGUGCCCUCUGACCCUUCCAUUGAGGAAAUGCGAAAGGUGGUAUGUGAUCAGAAGCUGCGUCCCAACAUCCCCAACUGGUGGCAGAGUUAUGA